AGAGUUUGAUCCUGGCUCAGGACGAACGCUGGCGGCGUGCUUAACACAUGCAAGUCGAACGGAGGAUGCGGGGAAGCUUGCUUUCCUGCAAACUUAGUGGCGGACGGGUGAGUAACGCGUGGAUAACCUGCCUGUAAGACUGGGAUAACACUGGGAAACCGGUGCUAAUACCGGAUAUACUGUAGAGUAGGCAUCUACUUUACAGGAAAAGAUUAACCUCUGCUUACAGAUGGAUCCGCGUCCCAUUAGCUAGCUGGUAGGGUAACGGCCUACCAGGGCGACGAUGGGUAGCCGGCCUGAGAGGGUGGUCGGCCACACUGGGACUGAGACACGGCCCAGACUCCUACGGGAGGCAGCAGUGGGGAAUCUUGCGCAAUGGGCGAAAGCCUGACGCAGCGACGCCGCGUGGGUGACGAAGGCCUUCGGGUCGUAAAACCCUGUUGCAGGGGACGAAGGAAGUGACGGUACCCUGCCAGAAAGCCCCGGCUAACUACGUGCCAGCAGCCGCGGUAAUAC
rnacentral:rRNA from 1 species